ensembl:snRNA U6 U6 spliceosomal RNA
GUGCUCACUUUGGCAGCACAUAUAAUAAAAUCAGAAAGAUGCAGAGAAGAUUAGCAUGCCCCCUGCACAAGGAUGACAUGCAUAUUCAUGAAGUGUUCCAUAUUUUU